rnacentral:rRNA from 1 species
UACGUAGGGGGCAAGCGUUGUCCGGAAUCAUUGGCGUAAAGCGCGUGUAGGCGGACUGGAAGGUCUGGUGUGAAAGCCCGGGGCUCAACCCCGGAGGGUCACUGGAAACCGACAGUCUCGAGUCCGGAAGAGGAGAGUGGAAUUCCUGGUGUAGCGGUGGAAUGCGCAGAUAUCAGGAGGAACACCUAUGGCGAAGGCAGCUCUCUGGUACGUGACUGACGCUGAGACGCGAAAGCGUGGGGAGCGAACAGG